GUGAGGAAUAUUGGGCAAUGGGCGAAAGCCUGACCCAGCCACGCCGCGUGAGUGAUGAAGGCCUUCGGGUUGUAAAGCUCUGUGGGGAGGGAAGAAAAAGCGGGAGAGUAACUGCUCUCGUGUUGACGGUACCUCCUUAGCAAGCACCGGCUAACUCUGUGCCAGCAGCCGCGGUAAUACAGAGGGUGCAAACGGUGCUCGGAAUUACUGGGCGUAAAGCGCGUGUAGGCUGACAUGCAAGUCGGGUGUGAAAUCCCAGGGCUCAACCUUGGAACUGCACUCGAAACUGCACGUCUUGAGUACUGGAGAGGGAAGCGGAAUUCCGGGUGUAGAGGUGAAAUGCGUAGAUAUCCGGAGGAACACCAGUGGCGAAGGCGGCUUCCUGGACAGUAACUGACGCUGAGACGCGAAAGCGUGGGGAGCAAACAGGAUUAGAAACCCCGGUAGUCC
rnacentral:rRNA from 1 species